rnacentral:rRNA from 1 species
UGGCUCAGGAUGAACGCUGGCGGCGUGCUUAACACAUGCAAGUCGAACGGAGAUGUUAUGUGAGCGGAGAGUGCUUGCACUUAACAAUCUUUUAACAUCUUAGUGGCGGACGGGUGAGUAACGCGUGGGUAACCUGCCUCAUACAGGGGGAUAACACUUAGAAAUAGGUGCUAAUACCGCAUAAGCGCACAGGAUCGCAUGAUUUGGUGUGAAAAACUCCGGUGGUAUGAGAUGGACCUGCGUCUGAUUAGAUAGUUGGUGAGGUAACGGCCCACCAAGGCGACGAUCAGUAGCCGGCCUGAGAGGGUGAACGGCCACAUUGGGACUGAGACACGGUCCAAACUCCUACGGGAGGCAGCAGUGAGGAAUAUUGGUCAAUGGGCGCAAGCCUGAACCAGCCAAGUAGCGUGAGGGAAGACUGCCCUACGGGUUGUAAACCUCUUUUGUUUGGGAAUAAAGUGCGGGACGCGUCCCGCAUUGCAUGUACCAUUUGAAUAAGCAUCGGCUAACUCCGUGCCAGCAGCCGCGGUAAUACGGAGGAUGCGAGCGUUAUCCGGAUUUAUUGGGUUUAAAGGGAGCGUAGACGGGAUGUUAAGUCAGUUGUGAAAUGCUGUGGCUCAACCAUAGCACUGCAGUUGAUACUGGCGUUCUUGAGUGCGUAUGAGGUACGUGGAAUUCGUGGUGUAGCGGUGAAAUGCUUAGAUAUCACGAAGAACUCCUAUUGCGAAGGCAGCGUACCAAUCCGUAACUGACGUUGAGGCUCGAAAGUGUGGGUAUCAAACAGGAUUAGAUACCCUGGUAGUCCACACGGUAAACGAUGGAUACUCGCUGUUGGCGAUAUACUGUCAGCGGCCAAGUGAAAACGUUAAGUAUCCCACCUGGGGAGUACGCCGGCAACGGUGAAACUCAAAGGAAUUGACGGGGGCCCGCACAAGCGGAGGAACAUGUGGUUUAAUUCGAUGAUACGCGAGGAACCUUACCCGGGCUUAAAUUGCAGAGGACAGUCCCAGAGACGGGAUCUUCUUCGGACCUCUGUGAAGGUGCUGCAUGGUUGUCGUCAGCUCGUGCCGUGAGGUGUCGGCUUAAGUGCCAUAACGAGCGCAACCCUUGCUUCCAGUUGCCAUCAGGUCAUGCUGGGGACUCUGGAAGGACUGCCAUCGUAAGAUGUGAGGAAGGUGGGGAUGACGUCAAAUCAGCACGGCCCUUACGUCCGGGGCUACACACGUGUUAACAUGGGGGGUAC